rnacentral:rRNA from 1 species
UACGGAGGGUGCAAGCGUUAAUCGGAAUUACUGGGCGUAAAGCGUGCGCAGGCGGUUUUGUAAGUCAGAUGUGAAAUCCCCGGGCUUAACCUGGGAACUGCGUUUGAAACUACAAGGCUAGAGUGUGGCAGAGGGGGGUGGAAUUCCACGUGUAGCAGUGAAAUGCGUAGAGAUGUGGAGGAACACCGAUGGCGAAGGCAGCCCCCUGGGUUAACACUGACGCUCAGGCACGAAAGCGUGGGGAGCAAACAGG